CCUACGGGAGGCAGCAGUGGGGAAUAUUGCACAAUGGGCGCAAGCCUGAUGCAGCAACGCCGCGUGAGGGAUGAAGGCCUUCGGGUUGUAAACCUCUUUUAGCAGGGAAGAAGCGAAAGUGACGGUACCU
rnacentral:rRNA from 1 species